AAUAUUGGACAAUGGGGGGAACCCUGAUCCAGCCAUGCCGCGUGUGUGAAGAAGGUCUUCGGAUUGUAAAGCACUUUAAGUUGGGAGGAAGAGUUGUAGGCUAAUACCUUGCAAUUUUGACGUUACCAACAGAAUAAGCACCGGCCAACUACGUACCAGCAGCCGCGGUAAUACGUAGGGUGCGAGCGUUAUCCGGAAUCAUUGGGCGUAAAGAGCUCGUAGGCGGUUCAACAAGUCGGCUGUGAAAGUCCGGGGCUCAACCCCGGAAUUGCAGUCGAUACUGUUGUGACUUGAGUCCGGUAGAGGAGAAUGGAAUUCCCGGUGUAGCGGUGGAAUGCGCAGAUAUCGGGAGGAACACCAGUAGCGAAGGCGGUUCUCUGGGCCGGCACUGACGCUGAGGAGCGAAAGCGUGGGGAGCAAAC
rnacentral:rRNA from 1 species